AUAGCCAGAGAAGAUGAAAAAGGAGAAUAAAAAUGUAACUGGGACAGUGCACUUUCCUAACUCAAUGCAAAAAUUAAAAAGAAGGGCUCUGUUUCAGAGGACACAUGCUAUGAAUUGGAUUAUCUACAUUUUGACCUAAGAUUUCCUUGAAUAUCUAAAGUGAAGCGGCAAAUUAAACAUGCUGAUAAUCACCACUUUUUGGUUUGAUGCAGAAAACCGGUGGGUGCAUAAAACGUCAAAUUAGAUGACUUAGGUCUAUAGGCUUCUCCAAAGCUGCUAGGACCAGAACCAGGCUGGAAAACAGGACGAGACGAGAGACCGAGAGACAUACCACCUCCUCCUUCAUUAUUACCAAAACCGCUCCCAUGAUCUGAGGAUCCACCUCCGACACCAGGCAAACCAGCAGCAGCCUGAGAAUGAGGAAAACCAUGGGAAAUUAUGUGAGGAAAAAAAGAGUUCUGAGUUAUUAAUUCAGGAGAAAUAGAACCUUUCUAUGGGAUUCUCUUUUGCUACAGACUCCUUUAAAGCACUUUUUAGUAAUUCGUAACCGGUCAUUCACUGAUACUCAAGAAUGAAGAGGCAGUGGAGAAAAAUAACUGAGAGGUUCUGGAAACUAAAAAAAUUUUAAAUUAGGAAGAAUGGAAGAGGACUGAUAAGUUUGAAAGAGAGAGAAACACUAAAAAAUCUAUACAUGAGUCUGUUCCAGCUAUUUCAUCACCAUAUCUUGCAGGAAGUAACUGAUAAAUGGUGUCAAGAUUCAGUUAGAAUAAAACUUUACAUUACCUCAUCAAUUUUCAGACAGGAUCUUGUGGUUUUGAGAAUUUACCUGUUUCUCUUCAGAGACAACUCUUCACAGAAACUCUUUCGAAGACAUGAUAGAUUAACUUCCAAAA